UAAGCUUCUAUGUUACAUGAAGGAAAAGGGC
rnacentral:piRNA from 1 species